CACGUCAUGUAGCCAAACAUUGUAUGCGUUAUCUAGACAAAAUUAUUACAACUAGUUGUUCGAAGUACAGUCGAUUGAUGUAUAGCGGAUUUUACUGUACUUACCUGCCCGGGCAUGACCUCAGCGUUACAUCCGGCGAUCUUUACCCCAGCGUACAGACACGCCCGGUAGUGGGCCUCCACGAUGUCACGACCGUACACGCGGUUAGCACCCACACCGCAGUAGUACGGACCUGCAGGGGACAAUGGGACAUGAGCCUAACCUUCCGGUUUCUGCGGUUCCUCCGACAGCGUUUUACACUUGCUUCGUAUGCCCUCGCCGGUUCCGUCGAUCCACACAUACUCGCACAUGAUGCCGUCGUCCGGCUGAUCCAGUCUCAUGUAGCUGCCCAUCACCGUCUUGUCCGUGGCGGCCGAAAAGCCCCGCAUCGAUGCGGCUGAUGACAUGGUGUAGUGUAACCUAUGCUAAUGGACUUUUACAGGAAGUUAGUUAAUGUAACGUAUUUUGCUUGCAACGCUCUUUGCAUUUUAUCAUCUGCUACACUACAUAAAAAAUGUUUAUUUAAGGUCUCAAUGGUGUAAUGAUGCUAGAUAAAUCGAGAUUUAAUAUAUAUCACAAUGUUAGAGCAAUUCAUAUUAAAUAUUUUGUGACGACAAUGUGUACAAUAAGGGUCGAUAAUAAAUCAUUUAAACGGG